AACGCAUGCAUAGGACACAUUCACAACAAUUCCUUCAAUCUUUCACAUGCUUUAUACAAGAUUUCAUCUUCCAUUUGCUUGAAUGAAGUUAGGUUAUUUCGAAGUU